rnacentral:rRNA from 1 species
UACGUAGGGGGCAAGCGUUGUCCGGAAUCAUUGGGCGUAAAGAGCGUGUAGGCGGCCCGAUAAGUCCGCUGUGAAAGUCCAGGGCUCAACCCUGGAAUGCCGGUGGAUACUGUCGGGCUCGAAUCCGGAAGAGGUGAGUGGAAUUCCUGGUGUAGCGGUGAAAUGCGCAGAUAUCAGGAGGAACACCAAUAGCGAAGGCAGCUCGCUGGGACGUUACUGACACUGAGGCGCGAAAGCGUGGGGAGCGAACAGG